rnacentral:rRNA from 1 species
GAACUGAAGAGUUUGAUCAUGGCUCAGAUUGAACGCUGGCGGCAGGCCUAACACAUGCAAGUCGAGCGGAUGAAAGGAGCUUGCUCCUGGAUUCAGCGGCGGACGGGUGAGUAAUGCCUAGGAAUCUGCCUGGUAGUGGGGGACAACGUUUCGAAAGGAACGCUAAUACCGCAUACGUCCUACGGGAGAAAGCAGGGGACCU